ACGCGCUGCCUCCCCGUCCCAUUCGCGUCCUCUGGCCAUCGCCCUCUCUGGUAACGCCCAUCACUGCAAAGACCCUUUUCCUUCAUUGGCGUUUGCUGUUCUUCCUGCCAGUGCGUGUUGCUUUCACUUACACUUGCCACAGCCAGCCUCGUGAGUGCCUAGCCUAUUGGAUAUCACUGUCACCUACACAGGACAGUCAUUACCUUUCUAUUAAUACUUUGUUUUUUAAUUUCACAUUAAUUUCCAUAUUGUAUAAACGACUGGAAAAAACUUGAGCCCCUGCCCCUGUAUAAUCAUGUGCACGUCCCUGUUCUAGCUCCAAGGUGAAUCUUCACUGCUCAUGUUCUCCUCAGAAGCAGUCACCUCACUCCCCUCAGGUUACUGUACACAUGCACCAACUGCCUGCUUCAGGUUUGGAUGGAGCUUCAUGGUUGUCUUUUGGAGAAAUGAGCAGUCAAGUUGUGUUUGAAAUUUGAUUUUUUUCAGAGGCAAAAGAAAGCCUCUGCAUUCUUGUCAAAUAUGUAAAUAGCAUGUGUUUGCAGGUGCUAAAAAACAGACUCUGAGUGUGUGUGCGUGUGUGUGUGUAUGUCUGUGUGUGUGUGUAUCCCGCAGUACUCUGAGAAGAAUAAUAAGCAUAUUUCUGAGGUGAAUUUUGAAGAUUCAUCUGAGAGUUAGGUUUGAUUCGAUUCGAUUGACGCUCCCCAGCGUUCAAGUCACAUGACAUAUUUAACCGGAUGUAGCUGCAAGACGGAGCCUCGUUGAUUCUCCGUUUCAACCUAUCUUAAAAGUGAGGACCUCAAACUAUAUACCAGUUUUUAAAUUGUGUUGAUAGGCCAAAUAAAACCAGAGUUAUGAUAAAUUAUGUCCGCAAUACUUUUUUUCUGCUUAUUUUGAUCACGUUCGGCGCUCGAUCGCGCUGUAUGAGACAGGAAAACAUAGCAUGCAGACAUUAGCGACAGGUCUUACAGGCGGAAAAGACUUGCCAAAAGAAAAGAAAAAAACACACCACAACAUCUCUCCUAUUGGUGGAAAACUUCACCACAACAACCAAUCCAAAAUUAUAUGGUGACUGAUUGACACGGGAUGGGCGCUCGCGUUCUUCCUGCAACUUGAGAAGGGAGGGAGGGACUCUCAGCAGGGAUGCAGUCUGGGACACGUAGUUUCAAACCUAGCGACUUUGUUGUUAGAUUCAAUGACUUUUCAGACCCCCUAAUGACUUUUUUUUAGAAAGAAAGGGACUUUUAUCGACUUCUUCUGGAUUUCUGGAGUUUAGAGACUCUGACAUGAAGCAGGCUUUCCUUAUUGAGGAGUUAGCAACGCUGCUAAGGGUGCAGAGCCACACAUGCGCUCCGAGCUCUGCAUGGGAGACUGAAGCUGACAGAGCUGCAGCAGUUAGCAGGUUUCACCCUCAGAGACCACCAGGGGUUCAUGUUGAGGCAUUUUCAGUUUUUUUUUUUUUUUUUUUGCCAUAGACACUGUCAGCACAAUCUGCAGUUACACUAACAAAAAUGCUGCAAAAAACAAAGAAUUAUGGAAAAAUUACACAUGGACUAACAUAGAGGAGGAUCUACACAAGUUUUUUACAUCAUGUUUUACAUCAUGCAUCAUUUACAUCAUGUUUUUUUGUAGUGGCAUAAAUAAAAAGUGAGAUUUGUGAGACUAUACAGUGUUUUGUAAAUAAUUUUACAAAGAACGCCUGGGCCAUUGCCUGCAUUUUGAUGUAAAUAGAGGUAAAUUACUAUGUUCUUUGUUAAAAAUUUGCAUAUGUUUUGAAGUUUACAAUUUUUAUUUGAAGUUUAAGUUUUAAAAACAGUUCAUCACACAUAUUUGUGGUUUUCACAGUAAAAACGUUACUUUUUUCCACUCGGAUUUUAUGUUUUGUGUGUGAAUUUGGGUCCAAUGUUUAAAUAUAGUAUGUCAAAAUGAUAAAAUAACUGUAAAUUGACACAGGUGAGGUUGUGCUGAAAAAAAUGAUACCAGGCAAGGCAAGGUAAAAAUUUUGUAAGAGGAAAUAUAAAGGUAAAAUCUAAAGUAGUCAAAAACGGCCAAUAGUGACUCACAGACUCCACAGACAAGUCCCUUUGGCGCCACUCAGUGGGCAAAACUACUUUGUCUACUGUAAUGUAUAUUUGGGUCAUCUUUGGCGCCCCCUAAAACGUAAACCGUGGGGUGCAGCGUCAUGAUUUUUACAACUUUGAAUGGCCAUGGAGUGUAGAUUGGCCUGAGCAAAUUUGGUGUCAGUGGGACGAAAGCCUUAGGAGGACUUAGCGAAAUUCCAAUGUGUGCGAAUCGCCAAAAAAUGCAAAAUAGCCCUUUAACUGUACAUUUUACACUUACGUGCCCAUUGACUUUUUCAUAGAUCUUAUUGAGAUACACGUGAUUGUCAAAUUUUUUGUCAAUAUGACAAAGCGUAAAGGCGUGACACUCAACAAUGUGUAUUUUCACCUUUCGGGAUAAGAAAAAAUGGACUUUUUUCUCCUGCCAUGGGGGGGCGCUCUUUUGGGGAGUAAAAAUUUCUUCACAAAUGUGUUGAUGGCUGGACAUUGCAUCAUCCUAGAAAACUUGGAGGCCAGUAUGGAAAAAAGUAAAAAGUUAUAAGACUUCUCAGAAUGUGGAUUUUUGGGUUAUAUUUGGCGCCCCCUAGAACGUAAACCGUGGGGUGCAGCAAGAUGAUUUGUACAACUUUUAAUGGCCAUGGGGUGUAGAUUGGCCUGAGCAAAUUUGGUGCCGGUGGAAACAUAGCCUUUCGGAGGAGUUAGCGAAAUUCCAAUGUGUGCGGAUCGGCAAAAAAUGCAAAAUAGCCCUUUAACCGUACAUUUGACAGAUACAUGCCCUCUGACUUUUUCGUAGAUCUUAUUGAGAUACACGUGAUUGUCAAAUUUUGUGUCAAUAUGACAAAGCAUACAGGCGUGACACUCGACAAUGUGUAUUUUCACCUUAGGAGACAAGAAAAAAUGGUCCUUUUUCUCCUGCCAUUGGGGGGCGCUCUUUUGGGGAGUAAAAAUUCCUUCACAAAUGUGUUGAUGGCUGGACAUUGCAUCAUCCUAGAAAACUUGGAGGCCAGUGAGGACAAAAGUAAAAAGUUAUAAGACUUUUAAGAAUGUGGAUUUUUGGGUUAGCUUUGGCACCCCCUAGAACGUAAACCGUGGGGUGCAGCGUCAUGAUUUGUACAACUUUUAAUGGCCAUGGGGGGUAGAUUGGCCUGCGCAAAUGUGGUGCCGGUCGAACGAAAGCCUUUGGAGGAGUUAGCGAAAUUCCAAUGUGUGCAGAUCUGCAAAAAAUGCAAAAUAACCCAUUAACCGUACAUUUGACAGAUACGCCCGCACUGACUUUUUUGUAGAUCUUAUUGAGAUACAUGUGUGUGUCAAUUUUUGUGUCAAUAUGACAAAGCGUACAGCCGUCAUGUGAAUUUUCACCUUAGGGGGCGCUAUGGAGCCAUUUUGCAUUUUAUUGUUUGGGCGACUUCAGAAUAUCGAAUUUUUCACCAGGCCCGGACGUCCUGCCAAAUUUCCUGAGUUUUCGCCAGUGGGAAGUGGGCCAUUUUCCAGUUUGAAGCGGAGGAAAAAUAACUAGGGCCCCGUUGGGGCACUGGCGGGCCCGAGCCGUGUCGCACCCCCCCCCCACCCCCAACGCGCUGCCUCCCCGUCCCAUUCGUGUCCUCUGGCCAUCGCCCUCUCUGGUAACGCCCAUCACUGCAAAGACCCUUUUCCUUCAUCGGCGUUUGCUGUUCUUCCUGCCAGUGCGUGUUGCUUUCACUUACACUUGCCACAGCCAGCCUCGUGAGUGCCUAGCCUAUUGGAUAUCACUGUCACCUACACAGGACAGUCAUACUUUGUUUUUUAAUUUCACAUUAAUUUCCAUAUUGUAUAAACGACUGGAAAAAACUUGAGCCCCUGCCCCUGUAUUAUCAUGUGCACGUCCCUGUUCUAGCUCCAAGGUGAAUCUUGACUGCUCAUGUUCUCCUCAGAAGCAGUCACCUCACUCCCCUCAGGUUACUGUACACAUGCACCAACUGCCUGCUUCAGGUUUGGAUGGAGCUUCAUGGUUGUCUUUUGGAGAAAUGAGCAGUCAAGUUGUGUUUGAAAUUUAAUUUUUUUCAGGGGCAAAAGGAAGCCUCUGCAUUCUUGUCAAAUAUGUAAAUAGCAUGUUUUUGCAGGUGCUAAAAAACAGACUCUGAGUGUGUGUGUGUGUGUGUGUGUGUGUCUGUGUGUGUGUGUGUGUGUAUCCUGCAGUACUCUGAGAAGAAUAA
rnacentral:lncRNA from 1 species